rnacentral:rRNA from 1 species
AGAGUUUGAUCCUGGCUCAGAACGAACGCUGGCGGCAGGCCUAACACAUGCAAGUCGAGCGCCCGCAAGGGAGCGGCAGACGGGUGAGCAACGCGUGGGAACGUGCCCUUUGGUUCGGAAUAUUCCCGGGAAACUGGGAGCAAAACCGGAUAAGCCCUUCGGGGGAAAGUUUACGCCAAAGGAUCGGCCCGCGUUAGAUUAGGUAGUUGGUGGGGUAACGGCCUACCAAGCCUACGAUCUAUAGCUGAUCUGAGAGGAUGAUCAGCCACACUGGGACUGAGACACGGCCCAGACUCCUACGGGAGGCAGCAGUGGGGAAUCUUGGACAAUGGGCGCAAGCCUGAUCCAGCCAUGCCGCGUGGAUGACUGAAGGCCCUAGGGUUGUAAAGUCCUUUCGACGGGGACGAUAAUGACGGUACCCGUAGAAGAAGCCCCGGCUAACUUCGUGCCAGCAGCCGCGGUAAUACGAAGGGGGCUAGCGUUGUUCGGAUUUACUGGGCGUAAAGGGCGCGUAGGCGGAUUUUUAAGUCGGGGGUGAAAUCCCGGAGCUCAACUCCGGAACUGCCUUCGAUACUGGAAGUCUGGAGCACGGUAGAGGUGAGUGGAAUUCCGAGUGUAGCGGUGAAAUGCGUAGA